rnacentral:rRNA from 1 species
CAGUCGAACGGCAGCACGGGGGCAACCCUGGUGGCGAGUGGCGAACGGGUGAGUAAUACAUCGGAACGUGUCCUGUAGUGGGGGAUAGCCCGGCGAAAGCCGGAUUAAUACCGCAUACGACCUGAGGGAGAAAGCGGGGGAUCUUCGGACCUCGCGCUAUAGGGGCGGCCGAUGGCAGAUUAGCUAGUUGGUGGGGUAAAGGCCUACCAAGGCGACGAUCUGUAGCUGGUCUGAGAGGACGACCAGCCACACUGGGACUGAGACACGGCCCAGACUCCUACGGGAGGCAGCAGUGGGGAAUUUUGGACAAUGGGGGCAACCCUGAUCCAGCAAUGCCGCGUGUGUGAAGAAGGCCUUCGGGUUGUAAAGCACUUUUGUCCGGAAAGAAAACCACCUGGCUAAUAUCCGGGUGGGAUGACGGUACCGGAAGAAUAAGCACCGGCUAACUACGUGCCAGCAGCCGCGGUAAUACGUAGGGUGCGAGCGUUAAUCGGAAUUACUGGGCGUAAAGCGUGCGCAGGCGGUCUGUUAAGACCGAUGUGAAAUCCCCGGGCUUAACCUGGGAACUGCAUUGGUGACUGGCAGGCUUUGAGUGUGGCAGAGGGGGGUAGAAUUCCACGUGUAGCAGUGAAAUGCGUAGAGAUGUGGAGGAAUACCGAUGGCGAAGGCAGCCCCCUGGGCCAAACACUGACCGCUCAUGCACGAAAGCGUGGGGAGCAUACAGGAUUAGAUACCCUGGGUAGUCCACGCCCUAAAACGAUGUCAACUAGUUGUUGGGGAUUCAUUUCCCUUUGUAACGUAGCUAACGCGUGAAAGUUGACCGCCUGGGGGAAGUACGGUCGCCAAGAUUAAAACCUUCAAAGGAAAUUGACGGGGAACCC